rnacentral:rRNA from 1 species
GACGAACGCUGGCGGCGUGCUUAACACAUGCAAGUCGAACGGAAAGGCCCUGCUUUUGUGGGGUGCUCGAGUGGCGAACGGGUGAGUAACACGUGAGUAACCUGCCCUUGACUUUGGGUUAACUUCAGGAAACUGGGGCUAAUACCGGAUAGGAGCUCCUGCUGCAUGGUGGGGGUUGGAAAGUUUCGGCGGUUGGGGAUGGACUCGCGGCUUAUCAGCUUGUUGGUGGGGUAGUGGCUUACCAAGGCUUUGACGGGUAGCCGGCCUGAGAGGGUGACCGGCCACAUUGGGACUGAGAUACGGCCCAGACUCCUACGGGAGGCAUCAGGGGGGAAUAUUGCACAAUGGGCGGAAGCCUGAUGCAGCAACGCCGCGUGCGGGAUGACGGCCUUCGGGUUGUAAACCGCUUUCGCCUGUGACGAAGCGUGAGUGACGGUAAUGGGUAAAGAAGCACCGGCUAACUACGUG